AGAAUCAACGCUGGCGGCGUGCCUCAGACAUGCAAGUCGAACGCGAAAGUCCCCUUCGGGGGACAAGUAGAGUGGCGCACGGGUGAGUAACACGUAGGUAAUCUACCUUCGGGUGGGGAAUAACAACCGGAAACGGUUGCUAGUACCGCAUAAUGCAGCGGCACCUAAUGGUGACAGUUGUUAAAGCGGGGGAUCGCAAGAUCUCGCGCCUGAAGAGGAGCCUGCGGCGGAUUAGCUAGUUGGUAGGGUAAUGGCCUACCAAGGCGACGAUCCGUA
rnacentral:rRNA from 1 species